rnacentral:tRNA from 2 species
GCGAUGCUCUAACCUCUGAGCUAAGCGGGC